rnacentral:lncRNA from 1 species
ACACGCGCACGGAGUGGGCUAUAAAAGCUGCUGCGGCGUCCAGACUCUGAGCUCGCCCACCACCCGCAGAGACGCGACCCGCCAUGCACGUGAACGGCAAAGUGGCUCUGGUGACCGGCGCGGCACAGGGCAUAGGCAAAGCCUUCGCUGAGGCUCUGCUGCUCCAUGGCGCCAAGGUAAGGACUUCUCCGUGUCCACCCACACGCCGCCGGAGCCCCUGGGGUGCCGAGCCCCAGGCUCGCAAGCCGACCUCCAACGCUGCUGGCAGAGAACCCGAACUUGGAUGAGCACAUUCUGAGGUCUAAGAAGGGAGCGUCUUUUUUAUCCAUUGCUUGUGUGUCUGUGGCUUGGUGGCGGCUGUUUCCUUCAUAGGAGACCCGCUCCCUCUUUUCUUGUUUGUAGGUAGCAUUGGUGGAUUGGAAUCUUGAGGCAGGUGUAAAAUGUAAAGCUGCCCUAGAUGAGCAGUUCGAACCUCAGAAGACACUGUUCGUCCAGUGUGAUGUGGCUGACCAGAAACAACUGAGAGGUAAGACGUUGGGGAAUCAAUCCAUAGACUCGGGAACACACCUUGUGCAAGCAGCAACCUGACUGCCAGGUAGGAGCAGACAAGGCUGAGAGCCAGCAACGCUCUCUCACGGGAAGCUGUGACCUUCUAACUCCAAUGGAUAGUUUGAAUUUCUGUGCUUCUUUCUGAUAACCCAAUGGACAUAAAAAGUAAGACAGGACUGCCUAAGAAAUCCUUCUGUUUUAGCCACUUGGCAGCACAGAAUGUAAUCAAAUCUUUUGUGUAUUCGAAGACAGUGCUGCUACAGUUAAUUACCCAGUGAGGGGGACAGGCUGCGGAACUAUGGCAAGCAGUUCUCAGAGAGCUGGAAGACUUCUCCAAUAACAAUCAAACUCAGCGUGCCUUUCGCUUAGACACUUCAGACGCCAAGUUCCAGGUCAUGGUCACAGGCAAAGCAAUUGCUUUUAGCCAGAUCUUUGCUCGGUUUCCCCUCUAAGAUGGCACUUAAAAUAAUAACUGUAUGGCGUUAAAUUUCUUCUUCUUUAGAAUUAAAGAAGAAAAGGCUCUAUCGCUUUUCCCCAAUGUUUUCCUGUUUUUCUGUGGUCUCUUAAAAUAGAUCCAUCUACUUGUGAAAUGUCAGGAAGAAUAUUGUCAUCAGCAAUGCACACUGGCUGUAUAGAGGGCUCAAAGGAUUUCCCUAAAGAUAAUUUCUCCAGG